AAGCAACGCGAAGAACCUUACCAGGCCUUGACAUGCAGAGAACUUUCCAGAGAUGGAUUGGUGCCUUCGGGAACUCUGACACAGGUGCUGCAUGGCUGUCGUCAGCUCGUGUCGUGAGAUGCUGGGUUAAGUCCGUAACGAGCGCAACCCUUGUCCUUAGUUACCAGCACGUUAUGGUGGGCACUCUAAGGAGACUGCCGGUGACAAACCGGAGGAAGGUGGGGAUGACGUCAAGUCAUCAUGGCCCUUACGGCCUGGGCUACACACGUGCUACAAUGGUCGGUACAAAGGGUUGCCAAGCCGCGAGGUGGAGCUAAUCCCAUAAAACCGAUCGUAGUCCGGAUCGCAGUCUGCAACUCGACUGCGUGAAGUCGGAAUCGCUAGUAAUCGUGAAUCAGAAUGUCACGGUGAAUACGUUCCCGGGCCUU
rnacentral:rRNA from 1 species